UCGGCGAGGCUCGUGCUCAGAUCGAGCGCCGCGUUUUCCGGACUCUUCUCCGUCAGUCUUUCGCGAGAAUCGCUCUCCCGAGAACUCCUCUUUCGACGUCUUUCCUGCGAUUCUUCCCGCGAGUUUGAUGGCGGCAAGCUUUCCUGAAAAAAAAAUUUUUUUAUUUAUUUAUUUUUUAUUUGUUUGUUUAUUGAUUUAUUCGUUUAUUUAAGUGAUUUAUUUGAAUUGCUUUGAACAUUUAAGUCUAGAGGAAAAUUGUGCUGAGAGAAUUGUGGUUUUUAUUAUUUUUAUUAUUUUUAUCAUUUUUAGUAUUUGGUAUUUUUUGGUAUUUGGUCUUGAAAUUAAUUUAUGUGAAAUAAUAUUAGUUGAGAGCUUAUGAUCUGUAUAUAUUUUGUAAAAUUUUUUUUGUUGCGUUAUUCUUUUGGAAUACAUUAGAGUGCAUAGUUUUUAAUCUUAUGCUGAAAAUUAAUUUAUAAAAUACAUUAGCAAGUUACACUUUGGAAUUUUUACAUAUUUCUCAUAGAACUCAAUAUAGAACUCGAGAAUUUGAAAGAAACAUUUAAUUAUACUUAUGUAAUAAAGCAGAAGGUUAAUAAAAAGUUGAAUUGACCGGUUUUUGUCUUCUAAGAGGCUCGAAUGUCAAGAGAAUCAUUGAAAAUCUAAUCUUUUAUUCUUGGUCACUUUAUAUCAAGGAAACUUAUUGAAAUAAUGGCACUUACAGAAACUACGUUUCACAUUUGAUUAAUUGAAAUCUUAAAGGGCACUAAAUUGUACACUUGACAACUCCAAGUUAAAACGACUACUAGUAGGCUAGUUUGAUCAAGAACAUAUGUAAACUCCGAAAAUAAACUCCAGAAAAUUGCUGAAUCUUUACAUUGUCAUGUUACAUGUUCUACGAUCAGCAAGAAACUAACCACGCACAGUUGCAUUAUCACGGCGUAUAAAAUUUCGUUUACAAUUGAAUACUUGACAUUUUUCUUCCGCAUCUUCCGCGAUAUUAGAAACAAAAUAAAACUCAUUAUAGCACUUAUAAUUAUCUGAACCGUUCCUUAUAUAUUUUUAAAUAAAUCAUAUUUCAACAUAGAAGUAAAAGGAAUUAGCCUUUAGGUACGGAGGUAUUCAAACAAAGACCUCACGAAUAUUUUAUUCCUAAUUUGUAGCCUGCUAUGAAAAAAGGCGGCCUCUCAUGCAUGUAGAUCAGACCACGUACUUAUAGUCCUUUGUGUAAUAUAGCACGAAAGCAGCGGAACAAAUGGGACCGUUAAAGCCUAUGAAGUGGCUUCGUACAUAAAGAGACUCAAAGACUGCUUCUUGUGAUACCGUGUAAAACGAAACAUAGGAAGUAGAACCUGCUUGUACAAGGUAAUUUCACCUUGUCCUUGCCUACGAGGGAACACCUAAUUUAAAUAUUUUUUCUAUUGAUCAUUCAUUUUCACCUACGUAUUUGCAAUUGUACAUUGUGACUAAAACUAGAAGAAAAAGAUUAGAAAGAUCUAACGUAUAAAUUCAUAUUUAAUUUUAAUUAUAACUGUUCUAUAAUAUUAUGAUAUUAUAUAAUAUAUAUUAUAACUAUUCGAAAUUAAUUUCUUAGAAGUUAAGAAUUAAGUAAAUUAUUUCAUUUUUCUCUGUCCUUGACCGCAAAGAAUGAAAAUCUUCUUUCAUAGAAAUGUUUUAGCAUCUUGAGAUGUUACUGAGAAUCCGUAAUGAUUAUUCGCGUCGUUUUAUGAUUAUCUAUGGGUUCGAUUGAUACGUGUAUAAGGACGAUUGUGGUAAAGAGGAUAACAGAGGAGACAAUGGCAUCGAGGCAAGGUGACGUUGUUUCUUCCCACGAACGAGCCGGAGAUAAACUCCUCUGAAAUAGAUCUCUGACUCUUGUAUGCAACACGGUGUACGGAGGAUAUGCUGGAAAGUAGAACCAUCUAAUCUCCUUUCUGGAAAUCCUCCUGAGAUAGUGAGAUACGUUUCGAAAUGUCUGCUUCGAUCUUUAUUCUGACGUUUUACGUUACGCGGCUGAGAACAAGAUACCACGAGGAAAUGCUAAAAAGAAAAAGAUAAAGAAAUACCUAUGCUUCGUGUUGCAAUAACACUAUAAGAGACCUAUAUUUACACAGUAAUCACGUAUUCGAAUAGAGAAGAUUAUUUGAAUAUAUCGAGUAGCUUAAAGAAAUCUUUUCUACUUGAAUAAGCUGAUCUUUCGGGGAUUCGAUAUAUUUAUUUAGGUUAAGUACGAAUUUAAAUUCAAGUGUUUCAGGUACUUGAAGAAUUUAAUUUUGCUUAAGUUACCUGAGACGUCUAAUGAAACGAGUUUAUCUCAAGUUCCUGGUAUUUAAAAUUCGUUGAAUGAUGAUAUAAUGUUACUAAAGUUUACGAUUUACUAUGCGAUUCAGAGGAUUAUAUUCUGAUAUUAAUACGGAUAUACUAAGGAAAAAAACAAAUCUUGAAAGGCCACCAUGUGGAAAGACUAAAAAGGGUUGAGAUUGAGAAAGGCGUUCACGAGGCAUCUAAAAUCGGAAUACGAGAGUCAGAUCAUCGGCUCCCGAUCGGCCGACGCGACGUAUUCACGGUGAUUUGUUGGUGAAAAUUCACGAUUGAAGGACUUGGCAAAGUGUUCGCGGGCUCGGCCGCGGUACGUUUCGCACGAGAUUUUCACGUCGCCGCUACGUGUGCGUAUGAUGUCAACGUGGAUAUUAUUCCGACCGGACGAGGACGGGCAUCGGUGAAAAAUAGGAAGAGGAAGAAAGAAGGAAUAAAAAGGGAGAUGGCUCGAAAUCGGUACGAGUCACUGACUGGCGGCAUUCUAUUUGCGCGAUCGACUCUAUAUUUAGAAUUUCCGACAUCUUCAUUUUGCUCACCGCGAAAACGUCUCUUCUCUGCCGCGAAUCCGUCGAAGGUCGUCACGACAGCCAACGGAGUUUGGAUUCUUAUUUGGCUGGACGCUGCGUCGGUCUCGCGGCUCCUCAUUCCGCUUAACCAAUAAAAUUUCGCUGGCAACACCACCGUGAAAUUUCAAAAACUUCAUAUCCCCCCUUCCCCAUUUCGACCUCUUGUUGGCGCACUUUGAACAACAGUACAGUCUUUUUGAACCAUAUUUGGAUACGAGGAAUGCGACUCGUAAUAAAGGAACUGUUGUACAACUAUUCCGAAGCUUUCACGGCGCGCGUACGCAAUACGUCUUCGAGUAACUUUAAUGAAACUUUCUCGGGAAUCGACGAGAAUUUCAUUCAGUAACGGCGACGCGCCGUAAAUAAAUAAAAUUGUUCUCCACAGCUAUCGGGGAAUGCGCAAACGUUUGCAAGAAUUCAAGAAGCGAUUGUGGUGCGUGAGUGCGUGCGUGCGUGCGUGCGUAACAUGGACGCGUGAGUUCGCAUAAUCAUGGUAGUUCAAUUAGAUUUGUUUCUGUUAUGAAAAAUUUAUAGAAACCGUCCAGACUGAUGAAAUAGCAGUUUUUAGAUAUACAUUUUCUUCUAAUUUAUUUCGCAUCAAUUGUUUAAAACGCAAAGGCUUAAUUUGAUAAUACACAUACAAUUUCUGAUUCUUUAAGCAAAAAUAAAAUUUAGUGGCAGUACUAAUUACAUUAAACUAAGUGAUGUACAUAUGUAAUAUUUGAUAUAGUCGUGGAUAAUUAAAUGUCGAUUAUUUAUUUGUGAUGUAAUAAAUGUGCAGCAUCAAUUGUACCAAUUUUCUUCAUGAUAUUGAUCAUACCAUUCAUGUAAAUAAAAUUUUAGAAGAAUGUAUUGGAUAUCUCUGAGUAGAAAAUACAAUUUUAGAAAUAUAUGCUUUCUACGUUUAUACUCAUAUGUCACGUAUAAUAAUAAUUUGCAUAGUAAAGGUUAUGUGUUGAAUUAAGAAUAUAAUUGCCCAUUCAUAAGAGAAGAAUUUGUCGUAUAAGGCCAAGAAUUAUAAAGUUUAUCUACGUUUCGCCAUAUUGUAUGUGAUUAAUGUCAAUCGGAAAUUGACGUCAUCACACCGUUACAUCCGAUUUAGGUGUCACAGACGAUUUCUGAACAGAAAAGGAAAGCAUUUAAACUUUGCUAAAUAUGGAAGCGCCAUUUAACUGUAAAAAGUCCAACAAAGAAAUAUAUCUGUAUUCUUCAUUCUUCGUUUGACACUUUGUGAUAGAAAACAAACCUUAUAGAUCUGUAGUAAUAGUGAUAGAAAUUUGGCACAAAUUCGCGCAUCUAUAACUACAAAUGUGUGAUCUCGCGUAAACUAUCCACCAUGAAUUCAUCGUUUUAUUCGGUAAAGCAACCACUGUGAUUUGAACGAAUAAAUCUGGAGACCGGAAAUUGCUGUUGAUAAUCGCAGUGCGCUCGUCGAUGAACGAGCAAUCAACGAAUAAAUUGAAAAUCCCAGAUGCCUACUAUUUCAAACGAUUCGAGUGUUGCAUUAUUUACUUUAAUGUCAUUUGGAUUCAAAUUUAUUCAUGGAAUUCGUGAACAAUCGUGUACGAGAAUCACGAACGAAAAUAAUAGUGCAAAAAUUUCGUUUACCUCUAUUACUAGAAUUUUUGAUGUGGAAAACACAAUAAUUAAGUUCAAUUAACAGAACAAUUAAAGUAAUAUUAUUCGAUUCUUACAAUCAUCAUGGAUUUAUUUCUACAAUCAUCAUUUAUUCCUAAAAUGCUUACAUCUUUGAAUUUAUGAAGUUAUAUCUAUCCUUCUUUAAGCAUUUUAUAUUAAAAUACUUCUUCUUAGUCAUGAAGUUAUAUAAAAGUCAAGAAACUAAUAAAAAUGAACUAUCAUAUCUUUCUCUUGUAAUCUUCGAAUUAUACCAUAUGCAUUGACGACUACACUAUCUUUGCAAAGCUGGCUUUCAUCUAAACAGUAUAGCGAUGGAGACUUUAUGAUUGCAAAUAUUGAGCGUUUAUAAAUACCCGUGUAUGUCUUUUCUAUUUCCGAAUGCUGAAGGCUAACUAUAUCGGAAAUUGAAGUGGUUCGUACGUCUUCUCAAGUCUAAAGAAGCAUUAAGAGUCCAUCAUCCAUCUCCAAAUAAUAAUAAUAGCAAUUAUAUAAAUCAUAUACUGCUGAGUAAAUCCUAUACUGUUAAGACGAUCGAGCUUAUUUACGUACAAUGUUCUAUGAAAGUAUUCGAACACGUAGAAAAGUUUUAUGAAUAUAUUAUAUGAAUUGUAUAAAAUAUAUAAAACAUUUUCGCAUAUUUCAUUAACACUUUAAUGAUACAUGAUUCGUGAUUAUAUCGGUCUUGGAGCCAUUCCGAAAAUGUAUAUAGAAGUUAUAUACAUUUUCAGAUUCAUCCCUAAUCUUAUCGGAAUGUAUAAUAAUGACAAUUGUGCCUCUUUACGAUUCUAAUGAAAUUUCGAAAAGUUUCGUAUAACACACAUAAUAUAUUCAUAAAAAAAUGUUUAUAUACGCAUUCGUAUAUCUACUUUUGUAAGCUAUUGUAUAAAGCAACGAGGGACAUUGUUUCUCAAAAGUUGAAUUACGAGCUUUUAUUAUCGCGAAAGGCAACGGUGAUCGCGUCGUUCCGCUGGCUUUAUUCUAUCACGUAGAUCGCGUGUUUCGUUGAACGCGGCUGGUUAGAUUUAUGAGACGAUAAAAAUCAUUUUCUCUUGCAUUAUUUGUACUACAAAAAUGGCCAUUCUUUUUCGCGUAUGCAAAUUACCAUCGAGGUUGGACGCGGCAUUGCAGAAUUUAUGAACGGCCGUGGAACAGGUUGGGAUUAACGAGAAAUAUUAUUUCGAUGCACCGUAAAUCCUAUCCAGCCUAUUCGAUUUUCAUCUAAUGUGUUUUCUGUCAGAUAGCAGUGAUCGAGUGACAUUCAAUUCCCGGAGUGAGUUAUUUCGCCGAACCACGAGCCAUCACUGUUCCCGAUAACGGAUGUUGAACUCGAUUCGACCGAAUCCCGAUAAAGUUCAUGAUCAAUGAUAUGCAUUAUUGUUGGGCAAAAGUCGAUUCACCAGAUCGAAAGAGUCAAUUUUCGCCCAAAAUGAGUCAAUUUUCUAGCGAAUGGUGCCAGGAAUAUUCCAAUUUCCCAAUGUUUCGAUUACUAACAUCGUUCAAAUCAUUUUGUAUAGAAAGAAUAUUUCAAUUGGAUUCUUAUUCAAUUAUGUUUAUAUAUUUGCUAAAAGAUGUGUCUUUUUUCGAAGCAUUUCUUUAAAAAUAUACUCUCAUUUGAGCCUCUUAGAAGCCAAACUAAUCAACUCCACUUUUUGUACGUUUCUCAACUUCAUUAUAUGGAUACGUAAUUAAUAUUGAACUUGUUGAAUAAACAAAUUAUUCAUUUCCAAAAGUUCAUUUAUUACAAGAAAGUAACAUAAAUAAAGGUGAUCUCUUCAAGGAAAUUCUCUAAAAAUUGUAAUAUUCCACACUUUUCUUUACUUUCCAAUUUAUGAAGUUAACCAAUAUAACUUCUGAAUUAGUUCAAAUCUAUUUAAAUAUAUUGUUUCUUUUCGGCGAACUUAUGAGGCGAUAAAUAUUAGACUUUGUAAUUAGGUUCGAACCAACUUACAGUAUACUUGAUCCCAUCACUAACGGCAUCACUCGACAACAACCAUCUAAAUUAAUCUCCACUAAUAAACCCAGCUGGCAAGGUACAAAAAAAAAAAAAGAAAACAAAAGGAAAGAGACGAAUGAUAUUCACCCGACUGGAAGCUUUUGCAAGAAUCCUAACAUAGAAAAUGCAAAUUUCAUUACGAGCGUCUGGUUACGAAGCCGCGAACGAACCGAUGCAUUCCUCUCGAGAAAAUGGUCGAUUGGUCCACGGAAAGCGGCUCUUUUACACAGUCCCGAGUCCAAUUGGCCGGAACGAAUUGAACUUGUGCCAGGGUCGCGUUGAGGUGAAUAAAAA